UUUAUUAUUUUUCAGAGAUGAGAUUGGUGAUAAAUACGAAAUAUUAUUAGUCGACUUAUUGCUCGGCUAAUUGAAGUGACGGAUGUUAUUUAAUUAUUUAUCUAUGAGCUUUCUUUUUUUAAUAGUGAUAGUUUGAGGAAAUUUAGUAUAUGUAUAUAGAAUUGUAUUAUAUUUCAUUGGGUGUAUAAUAAUUUAUUAAUUUAGAUAGCUAUCAAAUACUACUUGAGCUUGGAGCACAAGUUUCGUGAGUCAUAUUAGUGUAGAGAAUUGCUUUUCUAAUUUAUUCUUAUUUUUAUUUGAUCUAAUUUUGAGGGCCACAAAAUAAGGCUUAUAGGAAAAGCCAAGUUUUCCUCUUAUUAUUUAUUUCUUCUACAAACCUCAAAUGGGCCGAUCAGUAAGGGAAAUGAGGUUUGAAUUAUAUUGCUCAUUUCUAUAAUUGGAUUUAAAUUUUUAAUGUUUGAGAUAAGCAUUUAUUUAUUGUAAAGUGUAUAUAUUAGUUUGAGGAGAUUCAUUUCCUUUUCUUCUCCCCAAAACAGUCGACCUUCUCCCCUCUCUCUUUAUGGAACCUCAGUUUGAGUUUACUUUCAACCUUCAAGAAGAUUCAGCCGCCGCCUCUGCUCCGACCGUCGUCGGCUGCCGUCGGGUCCAAGUCCGGCGUCUCGUCUGUUCUUCCCUGGUGCCCCUCGCACUACUCUCAUCUUCUCUCAAUUUAGCGAAGAACCCAAAUGAGAAGCCCUAAUUUCAAAAUCCGAAAUCGCCGUCACCCGAGCCCGAAAUUCGGCAAUACAGCAGCCUCCUCUUCAACGUGGUCGAAGUUCUCGCACCGGAAGUCCUCGCCGUUCCCCCUUCUUUUUCGAUGUGGAGCCCUAAUUAUUAGAAGAAGGAAAUUACUACUGUCGCGACUGGAAGGCCAACGAACGGCUGAGCUUCGCCCAUCUCUGCCUUGAAUCCAUGCUCGAGAAUGAGAGAAAGGGAAACGAGCUCUAAUUCUUUUCUACUCCCGCCGUCAUGGUUCGGCUGCCACCUCCGCCGUCUGUGGAAGACCGGCGAUUCAGCGGCGCCGCUCCAUUCACGACGCCGCUACUGCUGCUACACGAUCCCCUCCGAGGCAGGAAGCGCUGCUGUCAUCAUCGUCGUCUUGGCUCGACUGAACAGGGUAGCGUCCCUCGUCGUCGAAAAGUUAAGUAUUCUACUUGUUAUUGUAGAAAGUGUUUGAUGUUGCUUGUGAUUUCUGAGUUCAUGCCAUAAUAAUCGAGGCAUAGGUGACUUCUCUCUAAGAUUCCUAAAGUGAGAUAUUAAACAAAAUGUUAUAUGUUUCUAAGUUAGUAAUUACUUUAAAUUAAGUAAAAUGAUGGCAGGAAUCAUAGCUUCAGCCCAAAGCUUCGAUUUUUGACCCUCCCUCAAGAACCCCAGAAUUUCAUCUUCUUUAUAUUUGUAUCAAUUGACUAUGUAUACAUGUCUAUAUGUAUGUGAAGAAUUGAUUGGGAUUUUAUUUGGGUAUUUAUUCACAAGAAAACAUGAUUCCCUAAUAGUUUAGUUUAAGUGGAUUUGGGAGUUCUUGGAAUAAGCUAGCUACAUGUUUGAUGCUUGUGUAAUUGUACUCCUUGAAUUGUAAAAUGAGAUUAUAUGACAAUAGUUGGAGGAUAUCAAGCAUGCUACUAUAUGUUGAUGUGUUGAACAUGAAUUAAGUUUAAGCUAAAGCAUGCUAAUGUGUAGUAUGAUGAUGUAAUUGAGUUCCUAUGGUUUGUAUUUGACAAACGUAUGAAUUAUAUGUUAAGUUGAAACAAAGGAGCUUUGCUGUCAGUUUUCGGCUUGACAGGGCAGUAUGUUUCGAGGUGCUUUUGAUGAUGUUUUCGUAAUCCAAAUAACUUGAAAUUUUUACUGUAAUAACUUCAUCAUGUGUAGUCAUUCUCUGCAAAAUUUCAGCUAAAUCCGAGACCAAUAGAUAUGUCAAACUAUUUUCUGAAAUGUACUGCACGGAGCAGCAGAAUUCAGUUGCAGAUUCUGUCUUUGGUCAUAUAACUUCUUAUACACUUGAGAUAUUGUAUUUUUGUAAAUUUCUGAGAAAUAUAGACAUUAAUAGCUUUCUAAAAAGGUAAAACUCGUAUUUUUCCUUGAAGCGAUUGAUUUUAUAUGAUUUUCCAAAGUUAGGAUUCAAAUGUGUAUGUGUCUUGAUUAAACUUGUGAUUGGUAGUUAAUUGAGAUCCUACACUACUAAACUUGAAUUAAGGUUUUAUUGUUCUAAUUACCUAUUGAGAAUUAUUGAUUACUAAGCUUGUUAAUAUGAUAGUUGAUGGACAUAAUUAUGUUUAUAUGAUUAAUUACUUUGGGAUUUUGUGUUUUACAUGUAUGGUUAGUUGUAAACUGAUCUCUAUGGAAUGGAUUUGUUUACUUCUAAACUUUCUCAAGUAGAGGAAUUCCUAUAAGAUAGGAAUAUUAGUUUAUACUUUCUUAAAGUUCAUAAGAGUUAGUAUAUUGGUUAGUUUAGUUGAUUCAACCUUAGCUCUGCAGAAGAUUAAAAGUUUAUUGGGAUGUUAUUUAUAGCUAAUUCUUCUUAUCUAAUUAUCCAAUCUUAUAUUAGAAUCUUGCUAUUAUGAAGGUGACAGUAGCAAUGAUAGAUAAGUGAGCAAGAGUUCCUACACCGUUAAGCGUAUCAGGUUAAGCUGUGAUGCAGAUGGAAGCGAGCAGAGCAAAGUCUUGAUGUUAAUGUGUUAAAUUAGGCUCAGGAUUUCAUGUCCUCAUACAUGUAAUCCACUUGAGUUAUUUCCGCUGCAACACUUAAUGUACUUUACUUUAUUGAUGUGUUGUACAGAUUUUAAACCAAUAGCUUCGAGAAUUAUGUCACUUAGACAACUUGUUGUUGUGUUAUUGUAAGUUGUCUACUCGUGAGUUUUAAAAGUGAUUAUUUAUAAUUACCAAACAUUAUGGUAAAAUAUUGUUUAAGCAUGAUGAUUAUUUUUAUUGAAA